CUCACAAGGAGAGUCUUUUCAGAGGUAAGUGCUCAUGUUUGGGGCAAAAUAGGAAGUGCAAAUUGACUGCUGCUGUCAUAAAUUUUAGCACAAACCUCUAAAUUCAUAAACUCACUCUUUCACCUUGUGAAGUGAAUGACAUAUACGGUAUUUUGAGAGCAUCAAAUGGGGAUUCAGAAGAAGUAAGGAACAGCAGUAGCUUGUUAUUGAGGAAACAAACACUGUGGGGAUUUGGGUCAUUAUGAUCAACCAGGUUUAAUUUGAAAGUUUGAAAAAUUGUGAAAAAAAAAAAAUAAUAAUAAUAAUAAUAAUAAAUAAAUAUAAAAUUUUAAAAUGAAAACAAUGUCAUAGUAUAGUAUGACAAAAUUCUUUAUUUUUAAUAUGAAAAAAUUCCAUUGUAUAGUUUGUUAAAAAAUGUCAUAGGAUAGUAUGAUAAAUUUGUCAUAGUAUACUAUGAUAAAAAAUUUCACAUUUUAGAAUGACAAAAUGUCAUAGUAUAGUAAAACAAAAAUGUCAAAAAUUUCACAUUUUGAUAUCAAAAACAUGUCAGUAUAGUAUGUUAAAAAAAUGUCACAGUAUAGUAUGAUAAAAAUAUUUUUAAUUUAUGAUAAAAAUGUCAUAGUAUAGUAUGAUAAAAAAAUUCAAAUUUUGGUUUAAAAAAUGUCACAGUAUAGUAUGUAAAAAAUAAAUACAAUUUAGAAUGAAAAUAAUGUCAUAGUAUAGUAUGAUAAAAAUGUUAAAUUUUAGUAUGAGAAAAUGUCAUUGUAUAGUAUGAUAAAAAGAUCUGCAUGGACAUGGGCAGCACAGUGGUGUAAUGAAUAGAACUCUUAUCUCACCGUAAGAAGGGCCUGGGUUCGAAUCCCCAUCUGGGAUAGAAUGCUUAAAAAAAAAAAAAAAAGGAUGAAAUAAAAACAUCAUAGAAUUUUAUGAUAAAAAUGUUCUGGUAUACAAUGAUAAAAAAUUCACAGUAUAUAAUGUUAAAAAAUUAAUUGUUGUUUGAAAAAAAAUGUCAGUUAAGUAUACUAAAAAUAUCAUAGAAUAGUAAUAUAAAAAUGUCUGUAUAGUAUCAUAAAAUUUUUCAGAUUUUGGUUUGAAAAAAUAUAAUAGUGUAGUAUGUUAAAAAUUAAUCUAAACAUCUAAACAAAAUAGUUUUCCCGUGGCUUUAUAGAUGACUUUUCUGUCUCUGAAAUGAAUACUUAUUUGUAAAGUAUCAUGUAAUUAACAUUAUAUUAUUCGUCAGAAAAAAAAGAUUUAAAAGUCAAAUAAAAAAAAAGACAGCUUUAAAUUUACCGAAUUUAACUCACUGUUAACCUUUACUGCCAUGAACAGCAAAUAAAUUUUGCGAAAAAUCGCUGAUAAAAAUUAGUUGUUUUCUCAAACGCACUUGAUUCCAUCAUGGCAGCGAAAAAAGCAGGAAGACUCUGAGAGCUUAAUUCCAGUGUGCUGAAAGGAACAAAAUUUGAUUGAUUAAAAGAAAUAAUAAUUAUACUAAUAAUGACCUCAUUUUGGGCCUUAUUGGUUUAACAAUUAAUGUAAUUAUUAUGCAGCUGAUGAAGGAUACAGAUUCAAUGAUUAUCUGAACUUCUCUCCGGCACAGAUUCAAUGGAACUUUCUGAAUGACAGAGGAAUAGAUGAUCACAUGAAGUCUUCAGGACACUGCGGCAAGGUCAGGACUGGUGCUGAGAGAGACAGUGAUGUGGACUGUGAGCACUCUGAAUCUCAGGUUUCUGUUAUCUGCUCAGGUAAUCACAUGUGCACACAGAAAAGUGAUACACCGGG